rnacentral:rRNA from 1 species
GACAGAGGGUGCAAACGUUGUUCGGAAUUACUGGGCGUAAAGCGCGUGUAGGCGGCUUGGCAAGUCGGGUGUGAAACCUCCAGGCUCAACCUGGAGACGCCACUCGAUACUGGCGUGACUAGAGUUCGGUAGGGGACCACGGAAUUCCUGGUGUAGCGGUGAAAUGCGCAGAUAUCAGGAGGAACACCAGUGGCGAAGGCGGUGGUCUGGGCCGAUACUGACGCUGUAGAGCGAAAGCGUGGGGAGCGAACAGG